CGAAGCAACCCGUAAGAACCUUACCCAGGGUCCGUGACAUCCCCGAUGGCCUAUCUAAUGAGAUAGANGAAGUUCUUUCUUCCGGAAACAUCGGUGANCAAGGUGGGUGUCACUAGGUUUGGUCCGUCAAGUCUCGUUGUUCGUUGAUGAUUUUGGGUUUAAAGUGUCCCGCAAUCGAGCGGCAACCCCUCUGUAUUUGUUAGGUUUGCCAUCACUUUAUAUGUUGGGCACUNUAUGCNAGUCUNUCCCGGUAAAUNAAUAUCCCGGAUGGAAGGUUGGGGAUUGACUGUCAAAUUCAUUCACUCGCCCCUUUAUGACUCUGGGCUAGCAACACGUGUCUACAAUGGUUGGUACAAGCGAGUCGCGAGUCGGUGACGGCAAGCAAAUCUUCUUAAAGCCAAUCUCAGUUCGGAUUGUAGGCUGCAACUCGCCUACAUGAUAGUCGGAAUCGCUAGUAUAUCGCGGAUCAGCACGCCUCGUCGGUGUAAUACGUUCCCGGGCCUUGUACACACCGCCCGUCACACCACGAGAGUUUGUUACACCCGAAGUCUGGUGGGGGUAACCUUUUCAGGAGCCCAGCCUCAUUACAGAUGGCAUAAGAUAG
rnacentral:rRNA from 1 species